AGCUCUGCCGCCGGGGCGCCUCUGGAAAGCUCUCCCGAAUUCCACUGGUUCUUUUCACAACCUGAAUCUCUUAUCAGUCUGAUGAAGCCUACUGCCUCCGUGAUUUGGUGCACGUAUUUGUAAUCAUAAACAUGCUACAUUUCAUUCAGAGUCCUUGUGCUCUAGUAGCUGCCGCUCGUCUUUACAAACACCCGUCCUGCUACCGAUGGACAAGCUACCACCUGAGAUCCUGUGACUGACCAGCCUG